rnacentral:rRNA from 1 species
AUUGAACGCUGGCGGCAGGCCUAACACAUGCAAGUCGAACGGUAACAGGAAGAAGCUUGCUUCUUUGCUGACGAGUGGCGGACGGGGGAGUAAUGUCUGGGAAACUGCCUGAUGGAGGGGGAUAACUACUGGAAACGGUAGCUAAUACCGCAUAACGGCGCAACACCAAAGAGGGGGACCUUCGGGCCCCUUGCCAUCUGAUAUGACCAGAUGGGAUUAGCUAGUAGGUGGGGUAACGGCUCACCCAGGCGACGAUCCCUAGCUGGUCUGAGAGGAUGACCAGCCACACUGGAACUGAGACACGGUCCAGACUCCUACGGGAGGCAGCAGUGGGGAAUAUUGCACAAUGGGCGCAAGCCUGAUGCAGCCAUGCCGCGUGUAUGAAGAAGGCCUUCGGGUUGUAAAGUACUUUCAGCGGGGAGGAAGGGAGUAAAGUUAAUACCUUUGCUCAUUGACGUUACCCGAAGAAGAAGCACCGGCUAACUCCGUG